rnacentral:rRNA from 1 species
AGAGUUUGAUUCCUGCUCAGGACGAACGCUGGCGGCGUGCUUAACACAUGCAAGUCGAACGAUGAACCUGGAGCUUGCUCUAGGGAAUUAGUGGCGAACGGGUGAGUAACACGUGAGUAACCUGCCCUUGACUCUGGGAUAACCUCCGGAAACGGAAGCUAAUACCGGAUACGACGUACGGAGGCAUCUCCUGUACGUGGAAAGAACUUCGGUCAAGGAUGGACUCGCGGCCUAUCAGGUAGUUGGUGAGGUAACGGCCCACCAAGCCUACGACGGGUAGCCGGCCUGAGAGGGUGACCGGCCACACUGGGACUGAGACACGGCCCAGACUCCUACGGGAGGCAGCAGUGGGGAAUAUUGCACAAUGGGCGCAAGCCUGAUGCAGCAACGCCGCGUGAGGGAUGACGGCCUUCGGGUUGUAAACCUCUUUUAGUUAGGGAAGAAGCGAAAGUGACG